rnacentral:rRNA from 1 species
CAGUCGCCGCGGUAAUACGUAGGGUGCGAGCGUUAAUCGGAAUUACUGGGCGUAAAGCGUGCGCAGGCGGUUGUGUAAGACAGGUGUGAAAUCCCCGGGCUCAACCUGGGAACUGCAUUUGUGACUGGCAAGCUAGAGUGUGGCAGAGGGGGGUGGAAUUCCGCGUGUAGCAGUGGAAUGCGUAGAUAUGCGGAGGAACACCGAUGGCGAAGGCAGCCCCCUGGGCCAACACUGACGCUCAUGCACGAAAGCGUGGGGAGCAAACAGGAUUAGAUACCCCCGUAGUCCCUGUCUCUUAUAC